AUGAUAAUAUUACAAAUACCUACAGGGUGCAGUUGUGUGCCCGGCACCCUUUUAAGUGCUUUCUACAUAUGGGCUGGUUUAAUGCCUCAGCCCCUCUGGGGCAGGAGUGCUACUGUUAAUUAUGAUCCUCACGUUGGAGACAAGAACAGGAGGCACAGAGAGAGUAGGUUCCUUGCACACGGAUUCACAACUGAGAUAGACGAAGCAGACCACGAUCCAGACGAGAGGCAGCCACAGCCCGUUGAGGUAGAGGACGCUCUCGGUCAGCCGCUGCACGUCCACGGACACCAGGUUGACCACAUCACCCACCGCACUGGCCUUUCUGGAGCCACUGGACAGAGCCAGGACCUGGCGGGUGGGCAGAAGGAGAGAAGUAAAGUGGGGAGGCCGGGGCAGAGGGAUGCCCCAGGUGGCUUCUCCACCCAGUGAGCCCCACUUCACGCGUCUGCGAGGUGGGUGAGUAAAGUCUCUUAGGCCAACCUCUCAGGGCUCUUUGAGGAUCCACGGAGAUGACAAAAAUGAAAAUCCUCCAAGAUCCCUAAAGCACGGGAGGCAUAAUAAUGAAUAACAUGCACGAAAACACCAGAUUAACACAGAUAACGGUGGUCAUCUGCCCAGUGCUCACCAUGUCGCAGGCACUGUGCUAAAUGAACAGCCUUAUCCUUCCCCGGGGUGCUCACAGCCAUGAAUGGUACCAAGCAGGCACUACCAUAUUCAUUCCCUCUAAUGCCAGGCCAGGUGCAGUGGCCUCUGCCUGUAAUCCCACCACUCUGGGAGGCUGAGGUGGGAGGAUUGCUUGAUCCCAGGAGUUCGAAACCAGCCCGGGCGACAUAGUAAGACCCAAGCUCUACAAAAUACUUUAAAAAAUUAGCCAGGGGGCCGGGUGCGGUGCCUCAUGCCUGUAAUCCCAGCACUUUGGGAGGCCGAGGUGGACAGAUCACCUGAGGUCAGGAGGUGGAGACCAGCCUGGCCAACAUGGUGAAACCCUGUCUCUACCAAAAAUACAAAAAUUAGCCGGGCAUGGUGGCAGGCACCUGUAAUCCCAGCUACUUGGGAGGCUGAGGCAAGAGAAUCGCUUAAACCCAGGAGGCAGAGGUUGCAGUGAGCCCAGAUCAAGCCAUUGCAUUCCAGUCUGGGCAACAAGAGCAAAAUCCAUUUCGGGGGGAAAAAAAAGAAAAAAUUAGCCAGGCAUGGUUGUGGUGCGCCUGUGGUCCUAGCUAGCUACUGGGGAGGCUGAGGAGGGAGGAUUAAUUGAGUACGGGAGGUUGAGGCUGCAGUGAGCCAUGUUGGUGCCACUGCACUCUAGCCCGGGCAACAGAGCAAGACCCUGUCUUUAAAAAAAAUUCUAUGGAUAAAUUGCUCUCUAUUAUUCUCUCACCAAGGAAAAUACCACUUCCAGUUAAAUUAAGACAUGUAAGAGACAUCUCGAUUUUGGAAGUAUUAGAGUGAAAAAAAAAUGUGAGACUAGAAUCAAUGAAAUGAACAUUUACUAACCCCAUUCUAUGGCUAAAGAAACCGAGGCAGAGAGAAGUUGAGCAACUUGCCCAAAGUCACAGCCCUUGUAAGCGCCUACACAAGGAAUGGAAUCCAGGGUGACGAAGGCAUGACAAGGGUGAGACCUUUCACGUGCUUCUGUGAUACCAACCUGGUUCUCUGGCAGCCUCACAUCUGCCUUAACCCUGGGGUCACAGUGGACCUCUUCCAGCCUGUUGAAUGCUAAAUUCCACAUGCAGCCCUCCCUUUGUGACUGCGUGAGGGAGUGAAGAAGUGAUCCAGGAAUGACUGGACAUAGAAAUUCUCCACUUAGCAAGUCUUUGAAGAGUGCCCACUGUGUGACUCACACUGAGCUGGGAACUGAAAAUACAGCUGUGAACAACAGAGAUGAGGCUUGCUCUCCCGGGACUGGAGUUUGAGGUGGGGAACAAGGCUCUAUAAUAAAGAUUUAUAUAACUGGCUGGGCACAGUGGCUCACACCUGUAAUCCCAGCACUUUGGGAGGCUGAGGCGGAUGGAUUGCUUGAGGCCGGGAGUUCGAGAUCAGCCUGGCCAAUAUGGCAAAACCCCAUCUCUAGUAAAAAUACAAAAAUUAACUGGGCAUGCUGGUGGGCGCCUGUAAUCCCAGCUACUUGGGAGGGUGAGGCAGGACAAUUGCUUGAACCCAGGAGGCAGAGGUUGCAGUGAGCCAAGAUUGCACCACUGCACUACAGCCUGGGUGACAGAGUGAGACUCUGUCUCAAAAAAAUAAGACAAAACAAAAACAUUUCUAUAACUCAUGCUUUAAUGGCAGUUAUGAUGAGUAACAUACAAAAGUAGCCCAGGCUGAGCGCGUUGGCUCAUGUCUGUAAUCCCAGCACUUUGGGAGGCUGAGGUGGGUGGAUCACCUGAGGUCAGGAGUUCGAUACCAGCUUGGCCAACAUGGUGAAACCCUGUCUACUAAAAAUACAAAAUUAGCCGGGCAUGGUGGCGCACACCUGUAAUCCCAGCUACUCAGGAAGCUGAGACAGGAGAAUCACUUGAACCCAGGGGGCGGAGGUUGUAGUGAGCCGAGACUGUGCCACUGCACUCCAGCCUGGGCAACAAGAGGGAAACUCUGUCAGAAAAAAAAAAAAAAAAAGCCCAGAGGUUAGAGAGGGACGGAUCUGAUCUCAUCAGGAGAUCAAAGAAGGCCUCUGGCGGGUGGUGGGGAAUAGGAAGAUCAAUGCCGUGCUCACCAGGCUGCCUUCCUCUUAGGCUCAAGGAAAUGUGGACUCUCAAGACAGGAUAGGGCACACCCAGCUCUGGCAUGCUCAGGGGAACAGCAGCCCUGGGACGCAGCACUCUGGCAGGACAGCA
rnacentral:lncRNA from 1 species